GGGCACAUGGUGUAGUUGGUUAUCACAUCCGCUUAGCACACACUAUGCGGGGGGUGCUGGGUUCAAUUCCCAGUGUGUCCA